UGCUCCUUUUUCUAUGCACAAGAGACCUCUAGACAUUUAUUCUUUGAUUGUGACUUUGCUCAAACAGUGUGGGGGACUGUGGGUAAGGUCAUUGGCACGGAGUGCGUGCCUACUAACCUUUGGCAAUCGUUGUCGUGGCUCUAUGCUUUUCUUCCUAGUGGUCAUACAUUUUACAUGAUCGGGAUUGUUGCGUUAUGCUGGGGGAUUUGGACUGUUAGAAACAAUGUAACUUUUGAUGCUCAUGUGGUGCGAUCCCCUAUUGGUGCUAUCUUUACGAUCUGCUCUUUUUUGAUGUAUUGGUCAGGUUUGCUCAAAGACACCGACAAAGAGACUCUAAUCAGUGGGGUGCAGGUGCUGAUGAAAGAAACAUCUUGA
rnacentral:rRNA from 1 species